rnacentral:rRNA from 1 species
UGGGGAAUAUUGGACAAUGGGGGAAACCCUGGUCCAGCGACGCCGCGUGUGUGAAGAAGGCCUGCGGGUUGUAAAGCACUUUUAGUGGGGACGAAAAGCCUGGGGCUAAUACCCUUUGGUCUUGACUUAACCCAAAGAAAAAGCACCGGCUAACUCUGUGCCAGCAGCCGCGGUAAUACAGAGGGUGCAAGCGUUAAUCGGAAUUACUGGGCGUAAAGCGUGCGUAGACGGUUUUUUAAGUCGGAUGUGAAAUCCCCGGGCUCAACCUGGGAAUUGCAUUCGAGACUGGAAGGCUAGGGUGCGGAAGAGGGAAGCGGAAUUUCUGGUGUAGCGGUGAAAUGCGUAGAUAUCAGAAGGAACAUCAGUGGCGAAAGCGGCUUCCUGGUCCAGCACCGACGUUCAGGCACGAAAGCGUGGGGAGCAAACAGGAUUAGAUACCCUGGUAGUCCACGCCAUAAACGAUGAGAACUAGACGUUGAGAGGGUUAGCCUCCCAGUGUCGAAGCUAACGCGAUAAGUUCUCCGCCUGGGGAGUACGGCCGCAAGGU